rnacentral:rRNA from 1 species
CAUGAAGCUGGAUUCGCUAGUAAUCGCGCAUCAGCCACGGCGCGGUGAAUACGUUCCCGGGCCUUGUACACACCGCCCGUCAAGCCAUGGAAGCCGGGAGUGCCUGAAGUGCGUGACCGCAAGGAGCGUCCUAAGGCAAUACCGGUGACUGGGGCUAAGUCGUAACAAGGUACC